rnacentral:piRNA from 1 species
UGGACUGGAUGAUGUCCAGGAGCCUAGCAC